UACGGAGGGGGCUAGCGUUGUUCGGAAUUACUGGGCGUAAAGCGCACGUAGGCGGCUUUGUAAGUUAGAGGUGAAAGCCCGGGGCUCAACUCCGGAAUUGCCUUUAAGACUGCAUCGCUAGAAUUGUGGAGAGGUAAGUGGAAUUCCGGGUGUAGAGGUGAAAUUCGUAGAUAUUCGGAAGAACACCAGUGGCGAAGGCGGCUCACUGGCCCGAUACUGACGCUGAGGCACGAAAGCGUGGGGAGCAAACAGG
rnacentral:rRNA from 1 species